GUCUAUAACCAAACAACCCUAAAUGUCCCUAAUUUUGGAAGCUAAGUGGGGUGGUGUCUGGUUAUUAUUUGGAUGGGAGACCACCUAGAGAUAUCUGUGCUCAAGGCU
rnacentral:rRNA from 1 species